rnacentral:rRNA from 1 species
UACGAAGGGUGCAAGCGUUACUCGGAAUUACAGGGCGUAAAGCGCGCGUAGGUGGUUUGUUAAGUCUGUUGUGAAAGCCCCGGGCUCAACCUGGGAAUGGCAAUGGAUACUGGCAAGCUAGAGUGCGGUAGAGGGUAGUGGAAUUCCCGGUGUAGCGGUGAAAUGCGUAGAGAUCGGGAGGAACACCAGUGGCGAAGGCGGCUACCUGGACCAGCACUGACACUGAGGCACGAAAGCGUGGGGAGCAAACAGG